rnacentral:rRNA from 1 species
CACGUAGGGCGCAAGCGUUGUCCGGAAUUAUUGGGCGUAAAGAGCUCGUAGGCGGUCUGUCGCGUCUGCUGUGAAAACCUGGGGCUUAACCCCGGGCCUGCAGUGGGUACGGGCAGACUAGAGUGUGGUAGGGGAGACUGGAAUUCCUGGUGUAGCGGUGAAAUGCGCAGAUAUCAGGAGGAACACCGGUGGCGAAGGCGGGUCUCUGGGCCAUAACUGACGCUGAGGAGCGAAAGCGUGGGGAGCGAACAGG